UACGUAGGCAGCAAGCGUUGUUCGGAGUUACUGGGCGUAAAGAGUGCGUAGGUGGUGCCCUAAGUCUGUUGUGAAAUCUCCCGGCUUAACUGGGAGGGUGCGGUGGAAACUGGGGUGCUUGAGUGUGGGAGAGGUAAGCGGAAUUCCUGGUGUAGCGGUGAAAUGCGUAGAUAUCUGCAGGAACACCCGUGGCGAAGGCGGCUGGCUGGAUCGCAACUGACGCUGAGGAACGAAAGCUAGGGGAGCAAACAGG
rnacentral:rRNA from 1 species